rnacentral:rRNA from 1 species
UACGAAGGGGGCUAGCGUUGCUCGGAAUCACUGGGCGUAAAGGGUGCGUAGGCGGGUUUUUAAGUCAGAGGUGAAAUCCUGGAGCUCAACUCCAGAACUGCCUUUGAUACUGAAAGUCUUGAGUAUGGGAGAGGUGAGUGGAACUGCGAGUGUAGAGGUGAAAUUCGUAGAUAUUCGGAAGAACACCAGUGGCGAAGGCGGCUCACUGGCCCGGUACUGACGCUGAGGUGCGAAAGCUAGGGGAGCAAACAGG